AUUGAACUCUGGCGGCAGGCCUAACACAUGCAAGUCGAGCGAGCGGCGGACGGGUGAGUAAUAUCUGGGAAACUGCAUGAUGGAGGGGGAUAACUACGGGAAACGGUAGCUAAUACCGCAUACAGUCAGAUAUGCCCAGAUGGGAUUAGCUAGUAGGUGGGGUAACGGCUCACCUAGGCUACGAUCCCUAGCUGGUCUGAGAGGAUGACCAGCCACACUGGAACUGAGACACGGUCCAGACUCCUACGGGAGGCAGCAGUGGGGAAUAUUGCACAAUGGGCGCAAGCCUGAUGCAGCCAUGCCGCGUGUGUGAAGAAGGCCUUCGGGUUGUAAAGCACUUUCAGCGGGGAUGCGUUACCCGCAGAAGAAGCACCGGCUAACUCCGUGCCAGCAGCCGCGGUAAUAC
rnacentral:rRNA from 1 species